rnacentral:rRNA from 1 species
UGGGGAAUAUUGGACAAUGGGGGCAACCCUGAUCCAGCAAUGCCGCGUGUGUGAAGAAGGUUUUCGGAUUGUAAAGCACUUUCGACGGGGACGAUGAUGACGGUACCCGUAGAAGAAGCCCCGGCUAACUUCGUGCCAGCAGCCGCGGUAAUACGAAGGGGGCUAGCGUUGCUCGGAAUGACUGGGCGUAAAGGGCGUGUAGGCGGUUUGUACAGUCAGAUGUGAAAUCCCCGGGCUUAACCUGGGAGCUGCAUUUGAUACGUGCAGACUAGAGUGUGAGAGAGGGUUGUGGAAUUCCCAGUGUAGAGGUGAAAUUCGUAGAUAUUGGGAAGAACACCGGUGGCGAAGGCGGCAACCUGGCUCAUAACUGACGCUGAGGCGCGAAAGCGUGGGGGAGCAAACAGGAUUAGAUACCCUGGUAGUCC